AGCCUAAACAUGCAUUUUAACAAACAAUUUUCAAUUUUCAAGUUCAAAAUUAUUUAAUCCUAAAAGGAUUGAUCGUUUACUUUCAAAAAAUGACUAACCAAAUACUAAUAAACAAGGUUAAAUAUGUUUGAUUUCCAAAAUAUAACUAUG
ensembl:ncRNA C09H10.14 ncRNA